AGAGUUUGAUCAUGGCUCAGGACGAACGCUGGCGGCGCGCUUAACACAUGCAAGUCGAGCGAGAACCGGAGCUUCGGCUCCGGGGACAGCGGCGAACGGGUGAGUAACACGUGGGUAAUCUGCCCUCGGUUCCGGGAUAGCCCGGGGAAACUCGGAUUAAUACCGGAUAGCCUCACGAGCCUUCGGGCGCGUGAGAAAAGGUAGCUUCGGCCUCUGACCGAGGAUGAGCCCGCGGCGGAUUAGCUUGUUGGCGGGGUAACGGCCCACCAAGGCGACGAUCCGUAGCUGGUCUGAGAGGACGAUCAGCCACACUGGGACUGAGACACGGCCCAGACUCCUACGGGAGGCAGCAGUGGGGAAUCUUGCGCAAUGGGCGAAAGCCUGACGCAGCGACGCCGCGUGGGGGAAGAAGGCCUUAGGGUUGUAAACCUCUUUCAGGUGGGACGAAGCCACUCGGGUGAAUAGCCCAGAGGGUGACGGUACCGCCAGAAGAAGCCCCGGCUAACUACGUGCCAGCAGCCGCGGUAAUACGUAGGGGGCAAGCGUUGUCCGGAUUUAUUGGGCGUAAAGAGCGUGUAGGCGGCCAGGUAGGUCGGUUGUGAAAACUGGAGGCUUAACCUUCAGACGUCGACCGAAACCAUCUGGCUAGAGUCCGGAAGAGGAGAGUGGAAUUCCUGGUGUAGCGGUGGAAUGCGCAGAUAUCAGGAAGAACACCCGUGGCGAAAGCGGCUCUCUGGGACGGUACUGACGCUGAGACGCGAAAGCGUGGGGAGCGAACAGGAUUAGAUACCCUGGUAGUCCACGCCGUAAACGAUGGGUGCUAGGUGUGGGGGGUGUCGACUCCCCCUGUGCCGAAGCUAACGCAUUAAGCACCCCGCCUGGGGAGUACGGCCGCAAGGCUAAAACUCAAAGGAAUUGACGGGGGUCGCC
rnacentral:rRNA from 1 species